AUACGGAGGAUCCGAGCGUUAUCCGGAUUUAUUGGGUUUAAAGGGAGCGUAGGCGGACGCUUAAGUCAGUUGUGAAAGUUUGCGGCUCAACCGUAAAAUUGCAGUUGAUACUGGGUGUCUUGAGUACAGUAGAGGCAGGCGGAAUUCGUGGGGUAGCGGGGAAAUGCUUAGAUAUCACGAAGAACUCCGAUUGCGAAGGCAGCCUGCUGGACUGUAACUGACGCUGAUGCUCGAAAGUGUGGGUAUCAAACAGGAUUAGAUACCCUGGUAGUCCACACAGUAAACGAUGAAUACUCGCUGUUUGCGAUAUACAGUAAGCGGCCAAGCGAAAGCGUUAAGUAUUCCACCUGGGGAGUACGCCGGCAACGGUGAAACUCAAAUGAAUUGGCGGGG
rnacentral:rRNA from 1 species